ensembl:lncRNA
AGGACACCAGCAUUAGGGAAGCUAGGGAUUAGGGCAACCCGUGGACCAGGGGUUGGCAGAAUCUCUGAUUCUGCCAGGAUGCUGGCAGAAUCUCUGAUUCAGGUUUAGGAGACCAAAAACCUGUCACAGAAGGCCUCCGCCUGGCUGAAGGAGGAUCGAGGGCAAGGCUCAGACAGAAAUCUGGGUGAGAGUGAGUGUAGGGUAACUGAUGCAGGGGCAGAGGGGUGUAUCCACCAUUGCUGACUCUGUUCCUCUCUCUCCCAGGUCUGCUCAUCACUGAAGUGCCUUGAGAAACGCAGCCCAGAGGAACCCUCACUGCUCUCGCCUUCUCUGGAGAUUUAUGCCAGCUCUUCUGACCCCAGAGAACCUGUGGGCUGUGUCUUCCUCCCUGGCCCUCCCAGAUAACUGCUGCUGCCCCUUGGCUCCCAAGAGGCUGUUCUGAUUCUCCAUCCCCCACAUCCCUCAUCAGUGGUGGACGGCAAAGAAGUGAGAGGCCGAAUU